AAUAAACAUUACUUUACUACGAGGGUAGUAUAUCCACGACAUAUACAUAUAUUGUCAUGAUUUCGACCAAAAACAAUAAUCAAAUUCAUUUUUAAGACUGUCUUCGACCUAUGGUUGACAAACAGUGUGAAUAAUAGCAUUCGGCGAUGUUAAUCUCGGUCAACCUUAUGUGUAUACAUAACUUCAAUAACAUAGGUACAGUCACCUCCAAUAAAGUGUCAGCGAUGGAGAAAUUGCAAAGAAUGCAAUGAAAAAAGAACUCGGCUUGUACGAUCGCUUGUACUCUCCAUAUUCCUUUAUGCGUCCAAAACGUGGACCCUACGAGAGAGUGAGAAAAAGAAGAUAGACCCGCUCGAGAUGUGGUGCUGGAGAAGAAUGCUGAAGAUACCUUGGACCACCAAUGUACUAAAAAGGCAGCGACUAGGUGGCGUCUGGUAAAGCAGAUCACUGAUACUUGACGACCAUGACCAAUCUGACAAAACUGUAACGACGAAGAAGAAGAACUUUCGCACUUGUCUACAGAGUAUAGCUGACCAUUAAAUUGGUUAGAUCAUUGGUGUCUUGGAGAUAUAAAAGAACCACGGCUGACCAUUAAAUUGGUUAGAUCAUUGAAGUGUUACAGAUAUAAAAGCACUACAGCUGACCAUUAAAUUGGUUAGAUGAUUCAUGUCUUGCAAACAUGAAAGCUGCAUAGCGGACCAUUAAAUUGGUUAGAUCAGUCAUGUCUUACAGACAUGAAAGGAGCACGGCUGACCAUUAAAUUGGUUAGAUCAUCUAAUCGUUAAAUCGAUAAGUUCAUUUACAGCCUGAAAAGUGGUCAAGUACAUAAAUUAAGAAGAUUGAAACCCUGAUCGAUAAAUUGAUAUUACGAGUGGUAAGAAGUUUGAAGCUAAAAUUUCUGUGAGGCAAACUGUUAACUAAAUUAAGUUACAGAUUAAUAAACGCAGCACUCGGCGAGCAAGUCUAAUGGUUGUGCCGAAAGUGAGUGGAAAGAGAUAUAUGUAUAACAUACGAAGGAGUACAGCUUUAUAAGUUGUUACUGUCAUCUUUAUAAUGUAAGUUCAUUUAAUCAACUUAAAUCUAAGCUAGUUGAAUACAUUUUAGAUUUUUGGAAAAAAGUAAAGUAAUUUUAAGUCAAAUCAAUGGCGACUAUAUUAUGUACAUUGUACGAUAUUGUUUACAAGUAAGUGACUAUUCCUUUGUCUUUUUGAGAAGUAAUUCUUUUAACCCUGUUAUAAGCACCUUACUACAAAAUACGUAGUACAAAAUGAUAUAAAAUGUGAUUGACUAUUAGUCACGUUUUGUUAUGAAUAUUUACAAUAUGUAUAACGCAAUUUCUAAUAUUAUAUUGCCAUUUACUAAAGUCAUCAUAAUUGGCUUUAUUAACGAAUUCGUGGCUAAUGCUGGAUUGGUGAAGUUUCCAGAGAUACUAUUAACUACGAGUAUAUGUAAGUUCAAAUCUCGUGAUGUACUGUGCACUAAACGAAUUUCGAUUCAAUAAUUGUGAAACAGAUAAGUAGUUUCCGCUUCCGGCGAUAGAUGACUCUGUAUUUAAAAUACAUCUGAAAUUGAUUUUAUUGCUCUAAUUUGGUAAAAAUAAGAGCGGAAACGUGUU